ensembl:lncRNA
CAACAUUUGAAUAUUCAAUAUUUUGUAUUUUUGGUAGAAUUUUAACAUAAGUUUAAAAAAAAACUUAGGUAUAAAAUAUUUAGAUUUUUAUUUUCUAAAUAUAUAUUAAAGUUAGAUAUAACAACAAUCAUGUAAUAUUUUAUCCUUUGGAAUAUUCUGUGAAGUUUGAACUUUGAGUGGCAUCCAUAAAAAUAAGCACUUGCUUUUGUGUGUGUGUGUGUGUGUUUGUGUGUGUGUGUGUGUGUGUGUGUGUGUGUGUGUGUGUGUGUGUGUGUGUGUGUGUGUGUGUGUGUUUUAUAAUUCAAUAAACUAGUGAUAUGUAGAAAACGUAAUAACAUUUCUAAUGUAAAAGCCCUGCCUGUCAAUUUCAGGCCACACCCCCUCCAUGCAGUUUAUUUUAGUACUGGAAACGGUACAUAAACGUCUGUUAGAAUUACUAUUACAUAAAUGUGAAGUAGGAUUAUAUUACAUUUUGCUUUAUUUACUUUUUUAUUUAUUUAAUCUGUUCAUCCGUCCAUCCAUCCCUCUAUAUGUGAAAUUGCUUUUUCCUCCUGCAUUUAAUAUCAUGCUGUUCUCACAGCCAGAGAAUCCAUUUCUCCAAGGAUGCUGGUGUGUACACGCACACACACACACACACACACACGUACACACAUGUAUACACACACACACACACACACACACACACACACACACACACACUGCAGGUGGAGUCAGGAGAGAUUAAUUAUUGGUAAAGGCCAGGCUGAGCCUGAGAGAACGCCUGCAGGACAUUUUCAAUGUUUUAUGAAUCUAAUAAGAGAGAAAAGGGUUCAAACGACCGACACACACACACACACACACACACACACACACACACACACACACACACACACACACACUCUCUCUCUCUCUCUCUGUCUCACACACACACGCACACGUUUAAAAACAUGUUCGCACACCACCCACACGCCCCACUGUUAAAGCUCAGAGGACAACAACAGUAUCCCAGAAUGCACCACGGCUCUGAGAGCAGACGACACAACACAGUGAAAUUAACUGUACACUAUAACAACACUGUAUAAUAAUAAUAAUAAUAAGAAGAAGAAGAAGAAGAAGAAGAACAAGAGAGAGUGGAUGAAGAAGAAGUGUAAAAAUAAAGAGUAAAGCAGAACGAUGGAGUUAGACAGAUGCAGUGGAUAUGGAGAGAAAGUGGGAGAAGAAAGGGUGUAAAAAUAAAUAUAGUGAAUCAAAAAGAUAAAUAUAGUGAGACAUAAAGAUAAAUGCAGUGAGACAAAAAUAGAGACAGAAAUAUUUCAAAUUUAUAAAACUUUAAAAAGCUGAAAUGUAUUCUUCAGUAACUCAAGGAUAUCAGAACCGUUACUCUGGCACUGAGAACUGAGCUCAGGUGCACAGUGUUUAAUCUGAUCAUCUCUCUGAUGUUCCCAGAACUUGAUUAGGAGUCUGAGUCUGCCAAAUGUCCAAAUGAAGCUGAUUAAACAUAAUUUGGAAAGACAAAUACCUGUAAAUACGAGGUUCCACAAUUCCCAGAUCAUUUCUGACCAAAAACCAGUCUAAGGUUCUCUAUGUAGAACGUUGCUGUUGGGUUGUGUUGAGGACAUAGACGAAACUCUGAUAGAACUUUAAGGAUCUAAUGCAGAGAUUAUAUAACAGGAACCAUGGACGCCUGUUAAAAUAACAUCCUUACCAUCGAGCUGCUCUCACGAUAGACUGGGAAGAAGAGGUUCUUUAAGAACCCCCACCCCCCCCCACCCCACCCCGACUGUACACGACCUUGAACCCGGGCACAAAGCCAAGAUCGCAUUAGAAUGGCUUCACAAAGAGACCUUGAAUGUCCUUGAUGCCCAAAGAACCCUAAGGAACUUUACUUGAGAGUGGAAGAUGUGUGAAGAGUUGGUAGGGGAGGAGAACCAUCUCUAAAACUGGCCAAUAUGUUGAAAUUGUGUUGGACAAAAUGCAGGGAGGUAACUAAUGGCCUAACAAGGAGACCUUGAAUGUCUUCAAGUGGCCCAGUCUGAACAAAAACCAUUUAAAAAAGCUUACUGGAGAGCUGAAGAUAUCAAGUUCUGUUGAGGGACCCAUCUAAGCUGGGGAAAAGAAUGAUCUUUUAAGCUGGGCAGUGUGGAAGAAGGCUGGACAUGGGCCAAAACACGGGGGGGUUGGAGGGUGACCAAGAAUUGGACUAGCAAUCUCAGGCAAUGGGAGGGGUGGACUGUAGAGAAGAGAGAACCUCCUGGAAGGAAGAUUCUGAAAGUAGCAGUACCUUCAGGGUGGUAGCAGUAACUCUGCUUCAUCACACCACCCCAUUACUCAGUAUUUCACUAUAACACACACACCGUGUUUAUGACUUGCAUAUUGCACAAAGGUUCCACUCUGUUCUUUGGUCCAGACAUGGUUUGUGAGGAUACUGUAAAUGAAGCAAGAGAGAAGAAACAGUGGCAAGAUGCUGACAUUGCAACAAGGGCAAAGUGGAGAUGGUGGAGGAGGAGGGUGUGUGUGUGGUGAUUUGAGGAACAUGGAGAAUUAAGGGCAAGCUUUAUGGUAGAUCACCCAGAAGAGCUGGUCCUGGGGUAAAUCCCUCGUUCCUCCAUCUGACUGCUGCAGUCACUCUCUGAUGCCAACAUCCUUGUUGGUUGCCAUGGAAACCAAGUCUUCUUCCCAUCCCUCUCUCUCUCUCUCUCUCUCUCUCUCUCAUGGGUUUCCCUGUUUAAAAGGAUCUGGUCGCUACCUUCCUCCCUGACUGAUUACCAUCUAUCUCUCUUUCUCUUUAGCUCGCUUUCCUUUUUCGUUCACGCUCUCUUGCUGUAUCGGUGUCACAGCUUGGGACAAGACGAGGCUUAAAUCUGCAUCUGGCCAAAAAUCUGAGGCUAAACAUGUCCACCCAGAUUCACCCAAACCACAUAAACACUCAUUAUGUCUCAGCAGGGGGCAGACUGGAGCCUUCUGUCUUACUCCUGGCUGUAAUAAAGCUGUAUGAGAGAGAAAGAGAGAGACAGACAGAAAGAGAGAGUGAGACUGGGUGAUUAUGUAACGUAGCUAACAGGCGAAUCUCUCCCGCUCUGUGUAAGGGGGAGAUAAAAGAAAGAAGUGGAUAAAUAGACAGACAUGCAUUCGCUUUAAGAAAUCAGAGUCUGGAUAGCAAAUCUAAAUAAAUAUUCAGAAACCAAGGAGCUCUGUCAAAAAAGUCACAGAGUUCAUCUAAGAGAGUCCAUGUAACAGUUCAGAAUUAAAAUAAAAAGCAUAAAAAAUCCACAGCUCAGAUUCACAGCAGGACUCUGUGAUGAUUGCGACUGCUAGCAUUGUUGAAAAAGACCAGGAUGUAAUCGCUAACCUGGGUGGGGCGGUGGUGCAGUGGGUAGCAUUCCAGUGCUCGGGUCCCAGAGUUUGUGUGCUUAGAAAAGCUCAUUGUGAUUAAAUGUUUAUUUUACUGCUAGAAACCGGUGCAGGGACGUGUGGUCAGCCAAUCAACAUCCCAAAACACGUGUCCAGAAAAGAGUAAAAAGGAUAUCAGAUGCUCUGUAAGCGAUGGGUGAAGCAGCUGAAGAUGAAACUAACGCCAUAUUGUCGUGCAAGAAAUUUCUUAGGCAGGUUUUCCAUGUUCUCCUUGUGUCUGUCUGUCUUGGUUUCUCCCACUUUCCAAAACAUCAACAGGCUGAGGUGUGUUGCGUCUGGGACGUGUUGAGUCCGGGACGUGUUGAGUCCGGGGCGUGUUGAGUCCGGCGCGUGUUGAGUCUGAGGUGUGUUGAGUCUGGGGUGUGUUGAGUCUUGGUCUGAGGUGUGUUGAGCCUGAGGUGUGUUGAGUCUGGGUGGUGUUGAGUCUGAGGUGUGUUGAGUCUG